UGCGAGUGAAGCGGCAACAGCUCAAAUUUGGAAUCCGGCCGCCUUGCGGCCCGAGUUGUAAUUUGCAGAAGGUGCCCCGGGGGCGUGCGCCGGUCCAAGUCCCCUGGAACGGGGCGUCACGGAGGGUGAGAAUCCCGUACGUGGCCGGGUCUGCGCGUCCCCGGGCGGGGCCCUUUCGACGAGUCGAGUUGUUUGGGAAUGCAGCUCCAAAUGGGUGGUAAAUUCCAUCUAAAGCUAAAUACCCGCCGGAGACCGAUAGCGCACAAGUAGCGUGAGCGAAAGAUGAAAAGCACUUUGGAAAGAGAGUCAAACAGCACGUGAAAUUGUUGAAAGGGAAGCGCUUGCGACCAGACUCGCCCGCGGGCGAUCAGCCGCCCCUCGGGGCGGUGCACGCGCCCGCGGCCGGGCCAGCAUCGGUUCGGGCGGUCGGACAAGGGCYCCGGGAAUGUGCCUCCCCCCUCGGGGGGUGGGUUAUAGCCCGGGGUGCCAUGCGGCCCGCCCGGACCGAGGACCGCGCCUCGUGCGAGGAUGCUGGCGUAAUGGUCGUCAGCGACCCGUCUUGAAACACGG
rnacentral:rRNA from 1 species